rnacentral:rRNA from 1 species
AUUGAACGCUGGCGGCGUGCUUAACACAUGCAAGUCGUGCGGUAACAGGCGUAGCAAUACGUGCUGACGAGCGGCGAACGGGUGCGUAAUACAUGGGAAUCUGCCUUUUAGUGGGGAAUAACCCGGCGAAAGCCGGGCUAAUGCCGCAUAAGAUCUUCGGAUGAAAGCGGGGGAUCGUAAGACCUCGCGCUGAUAGAUGAGCCCAUGCCGGAUUAGCAGUUGGUGAGGUAACGGCUCACCAAGGCGACGAUCCGUAGCUGGUCUGAGAGGACGGCCAGCCACACUGGGACUGAGACACGGCCCAGACUCCUACGGGAGGCAGCAGGUGGGGAAUAUUGGACAAGUGGGGAAACCCUGAUCCAGCGACGCCGCGUGUGUGAAGAAGGCC